GUGUCCGUUCCCAGGUUAAACUGCUGCAGACCGGAGCAGCCCAGGUGAAGCCCUCACAGACCCUGAGACUCACCUGCUCCGUGUCUGGAUUCUCUCUCACAUCUAGCGGGAAUGCAGUGAGCUGGGUUCGACAGCCCCCGGGGAAAGGCCUGGAGUGGUUGUGCCUUGUGUACUGGGAUGAUGACAAACGCUACCACGAGUCCCUCAAAAGCCGGCUGACCAUCUCCAGGGACACCUCUAAAAGUGAGGUGUAUUUGGAAAUGAGAGGCACGGAAGCCGGAGACAGCGGCACCUAUUACUGCGCCAGGAGACACACAGUGACACAGAGCAAAGCAGCGACUG